rnacentral:tRNA from 1 species
GCGGGUUUAGCUCAGUUGGGAGAGCGUCAGACUGAAGUCAAACUUCAAUCACUAAAUCUGAAGGUCAUGUGUUCGAUCCACAUAAACCGCA